UAAGGUUUAACACGUGCUCGUUUAACAGAGGAAAAGAGAGCUGAAGAUGAGUCGUUUGAGACCGAUCAAAUAGCUGGACGACUUCAAGAAGAAGUGCUUGAACAGAAAGGAAAGCUCCAGCGUCUUAUAGCCAAAGACCUCUUACCACCAGAUGCUUCAGAGAUCAGGGUGUUAAGAGGCCACAAACUACCGAUUACAUGUCUGGUCAUUACUCCUGAUGACAGAUGCGUCUUUUCAGCUGCCAAGGACUGCUCCAUCAUUAAAUGGGAUAUUGAAAGUGGGAAGAAGCUCCAUACGAUUCAUGGUGGCAGAAAAAGGG